UGUGGAUAAGCAGCAGGUGGAGAAUAAAAUUUUCUGCAAUGAUGAGCCGCGCGAUCAUUAGUUUUUCACCCAUUCUCUGUUGAAGAAUUCGAUCUCUAGUUUUACUAUACCUACCCGGUUUUUCUUAUAGAUUGAAAAAAUUAGCACAAUUUCAUAUUUCUAUACAACUUUUUCUAUUGAGACAUUUUUUAUCGACAUGAAUUUUCUACAUUAUUUUUUCCAAUCGCUAAUAUCUCUAUAUGAAUGAAUUUCUUCAAGUGGAAUUGGAUCUACUGCGUAUUUGUGUAUUGGAAGAAACAAAUGUCAAAUCGAUGUAAAUUGUGUAUUCAUCUUUCAAUUCUCAAAUUUGUCAUUUAAGUAAGUUGUAAUUUUAUUGCAAUUAAUUAAAAUGAGUGGGAGGAAGGUAAAUUGAAAUGGAAUAAUUCUCAAGUGCGUCAUUAUCUGAGUUUGUUCAGGACGGCCCCAAAGUAAUCACAAUGUUGGAUUAUUGGAAACUGUUUGCAUAAUGGUAGUUUCGUUGUAUAAUUCAGGUCUCUGUUGCUUCUGUGCAUAUAUAUACCCAAACGCUUUCUUAAAUAAUGCAUUGAUGCAUUGAUUGUUCAUGUUUCGUCACUUGGUCAGCUUAAUGUCGUCAUACCUAUACUGGCAAAUGUCACAUAUUGAAACAAUAAUGGUCGCAAUUGAACAAAUCUGGGAAAAUUGUAACCCAUGCAAUAAUUUAUCAUCCAAUAGUUUCUGAUAUAUGAUUUAUUACAAAUAAAAAUGAUAAUAAUACAAUUAUACAGCAGCUAAUUAGUAGGUCUAGAUCUAAGAGAAUUGGACAAGCGAUCGAAAUAUAGUGCCCCCUGCAAAAGGAAAUUGAAAUCCAUGAAGAAAAAAAAAAUACAAAUAGCCUUGAUUGUUAUAAACUACUUAAACUCACCACUAAAAAUGUUGCUGCCAUCAAAAGACUCUUCAGUCUCACAUUAGCAUCACUUGGAAAUGUCAGGAGCAGAAUGUGAUCGACGAGUAGAUGAUCGUAUUGAUGACUUAUGGAGGCUAUUUGGCGAGUCAUGUCUAUGGACAAAACCUAAAGAGGAAUAUGAGUUGGCGGGUGUGGCUUCAAGUCCCUUCAAUACUUGCUUUUCAAGUUUUUUCAACUUAUCAUUUAAGCCAAGGAAUUUCACCUGGAAAGAAACUUCAUCGCUCAUGCAACAGCAGCACAUAUUGGGUCCAUCUAUGAUGCACAUGGCUUCUCUCGAAGCAUCAUAAACCGUGAAACUGGGACCGAAAAGAGUCAAGUUCUGCUCAAUACUGCCGAUGUAUUCAGUGGUUUCGACAGUCAUAUUCUGUAGGAUAGCAUAGAAACCCUGGGACACAUCCCCAACUGAGUCUCUUCGUCAGAGUGAAGGCAGAUUCCCCAGACGCAUCUCUCACAUCCAUCGUGAAACUCCUCGAAGAACCCAAAAUAUUUCUCUGACAAUUUGUAGAGUUUUCCGAAGCUAAAAAUAGAGUUUCUGCUCCUCGAAUUUUCACCCUGAAUUGAUUUGCCGAUUGUCCAAGGACUGGAACAGGUUUCAAUUGAGUACGGGAAUAGAUCAGUUCUUGUAAUGAAAGUUCUCAGCACAAAUUAUAUCUUUAAAAAAAAUUCUAUUGGAGUGUUCUCUUGGCUGUUGAUCGAUUCUAUUGACAAUUAUUUAGUAGAAAUAAAUGGAUAACCUUUGCCUUUUUUUACAACUUA